UGCCGUGUGAACCUCUUUGUGGUUAGAAUUAUUGUAAGCGGCCGUGAGCUUCAUUGUGACUCAUUGUUGAGAUUGGGUUAGUGAACUUGAUUGCCGUGUAACUCUUGGUGUUGGAAGUGUUGCGGUGUGAUUCUUGUGUGUAAAGGGUUGUUGCCGUGGGACACUUUAUAUGUUGAGUGGCUUAUUGCCGUGAGGUUCAUUGGUGAGUUGGGUCAUUGCCGUAAACCUUUAUUGUAAGGUUGGUAGUUGGUUGCCGUGAAUCUUGGUGUG
rnacentral:misc_RNA from 1 species